CUUGCUCUGGUGGCGAGUGGCGAACGGGUGAGUAAUAUAUCGGAACGUACCCUAGAGUGGGGGAUAACGUAGCGAAAGUUACGCUAAUACCGCAUACGAUCUAAGGAUGAAAGUGGGGGAUCGCAAGACCUCAUGCUCGUGGAGCGGCCGAUAUCUGAUUAGCUAGUUGGUAGGGUAAAAGCCUACCAAGGCAUCGAUCAGUAGCUGGUCUGAGAGGACGACCAGCCACACUGGAACUGAGACACGGUCCAGACUCCUACGGGAGGCAGCAGUGGGGAAUUUUGGACAAUGGGCGAAAGCCUGAUCCAGCAAUGCCGCGUGAGUGAAGAAGGCCUUCGGGUUGUAAAGCUCUUUUGUCAGGGAAGAAACGGUGAGAGCUAAUAUCUUUUGCUAAUGACGGUACCUGAAGAAUAAGCACCGGCUAACUACGUGCCAGCAGCCGCGGUAAUACGUAGGGUGCAAGCGUUAAUCGGAAUUACUGGGCGUAAAGCGUGCGCAGGCGGUUUUGUAAGUCUGAUGUGAAAUCCCCGGGCUCAACCUGGGAAUUGCAUUGGAGACUGCAAGGCUAGAAUCUGGCAGAGGGGGGUAGAAUUCCACGUGUAGCAGUGAAAUGCGUAGAUAUGUGGAGGAACACCGAUGGCGAAGGCAGCCCCCUGGGUCAAGAUUGACGCUCAUGCACGAAAGCGUGGGGAGCAAACAGGAUUAGAUACCCUGGUAGUCCACGCCCUAAACGAUGUCUACUAGUUGUCGGGUCUUAAUUGACUUGGUAACGCAGCUAACGCGUGAAGUAGACCGCCUGGGGAGUACGGUCGCAAGAUUAAAACUCAAAGGAAUUGACGGGGACCCGCACAAGCGGUGGAUGAUUGUGGAUUAAUUCGAUGCAACGCGAAAAACCUUACCUACCCUUGACAUGGCUGGAAUCCUUGAGAGAUCAGGGAGUGCUCGAAAGAGAACCAGUACACAGGUGCUGCAUGGCUGUCGUCAGCUCGUGUC
rnacentral:rRNA from 1 species